GAGUCGACCGGGUGAUCGCGGGGCCGCAGAUGAUGCGGCGUCGAGGAAAGUCCGGGCUCCACAGGGCAAGGUGGUGGGUAACGCCCACCCGGGGUGACCCGCGGGAUCAGUGCCACAGAAAGCAAACCGCCUCCGCGAGAGCGGCGGUAAGGGUGAAACGGUGGUGUAAGAGACCACCAGCGGCGCAGGUGACUGCGUCGGCUCGGCAAACCCCACCUGGAGCAAGGUCAAGAGGAUCGGUUCGCUGAUCUGCGCGGACGGGCGGCCCGCCCGAUGUUCGCGGGUAGACCGCACCAGGCCGCUGGCGACAGCGGUCGCAGAUGGAUGAUCACCCCCCGUGCUCCGUGCACGGGGACAGAACCCGGCUUACAGGUCGACUCGU
rnacentral:RNase_P_RNA from 1 species